AUCUAAUUUUUUUAUUAUUUUAAUUAAAAAUUUACUUGAUAAUUAAUGAAUAUAAAAGUAUUACAUUUUAUAUACAUAUAUUAUAUUUUACAGAAGAUAAACAAGCCAAAAUCAAAAUAAUCUGCCUUAAGUUUUACAGUUGGCAAUUUAUAAAUUUAAUCAGUCGAAUUUUAAUUAAUCAGUGAUGACUGGACCGUUGUUUCUAUCCCGGUUUCCUACGUAAGUUUGGGUAAGUCAUAAUAUUAAGCUAUAUUUCGUUUUAAUUAAAUUAAAUUAAAGUUGACAAUUUUUAAAAUUUAUUUAAUUACGUUAAAAGGAUAUGUAGCGCGCCCGCGGCGAAGAGUACCGAUCGAUCGAUCGAUAUACAAUGCGAUAUCUUAGCGCGUGAAGUUGACCGCGCGAGAGACAAAGCCAUCUUAAGCUAUAUUCACGUUAAUGUAAUAUUCUGUAAAGAACGCGGCGGACGCCUAGAAUAUUUACUACCAAUUUAACGCGAUUAACAAUCGCGUAAUGGAGAUUCGGUACAAGAAUAGGUAUUCGAUGAUUCAUAAAAAUGCGUAUCUCGUAUAAGAUAUAUAGCGCGUAUACCAUAUAGACUUCGCGACUAAUACGUUAUCGUAUAUUACGCGUUGUAACGCGCGCGGACAUCUAACCUCAACGUUAACACGGCUAUUCUCAUUUAAAUUAAAAGCGAGAUAUGUAGCGAGCAUGACAUUGAUCUUGGCGUAAAGUUACCCGCGUGGAAAACAAAGCCGGGAAACCUGCCAUCAUAUAUUGCGUUUUUACAUUUGAUCGUAAAAUACGGCGGACACGAGAUGGGCCAUCCUUCCAUAAAGUUGGCGCGUUCGUGAUCAUCAUCACUUAAUUGAAUGCAUAUUGACUUUGUGUUGUAAUUUGUUUGAACGCAUGCUUCUCAAUAGUCUCAUUCGAACAAAGUUUAUCAUAAAAAUCAAAUUUAUUUAAAAGCUAUUCUAAAUUCUUGUAAUUUAAUAUUUCAUGAAUAAUAUUAAGUUAAAAUUUGCUUAUUAGUUCGACCUUUUUUUCAAUUAAAGUUUAUAAUUUUAUUCAAAUAAGGAUAAAUUCUAUUUUUGUGUACAUAAUACUGAGUUUUUCCAAGAUUUUUGAUAAGCACAUUUUAAGACUGUCAAGUUUCCAGCAAACAAGAUGACGUUAAAUAACGUUUCAAUGACGUCUUAUCAACGCCAGAGACGUCAAUAAGACAUUAUAAAAACUUCAUUUGACGUCACCUUAUUUGUUAGAUUAUCAGGAAAAGAUUCUUUUGUUAAAUGUUAAAUAUAUUUUUGUUAAUUGUUACUUAAGAGAGGUAAAAUAAAUUGAGUAAUUACUUUUCUUACCGAUAAAACUUUCUUAUAUGUAGAUAUUUUUCGUGCAUAGGUAUAAUGUACAAAAUAUUAUAUUUUACAGUAUUUUACAACAUUAUUUUCAGAUAUAUAUUAUUAAUUAAUUUUUUACAUGCUUUAGUAAAUUUUUACUCUUGUCCUGUAAAAAGCUAAUUCUCGUUACCGAUUUAAAUAAAAAUGAAUAAAUCACAGUUCGGUGCGUCACGCGUUUUAUUUCGGGAGUACCAUUCAAGUUAUCUAAAAGACUUUUAUAAAUAAUUAGUCUUUGCGCGAUUGUAAUGUAUUAUUGCGAAUGUUUUCGUGAGUAUUCUGUACAACGAAAAAAGGACAACCUCAUGUUUUAAGAUAUCUAAGAUGGAGAUUAGACCCCGGUGCAGUAAUAUUUGGCUAUGUGACAGACAACUCGAGACAAUCUAAAUCCUGAGGGGAGACGGAGGCCUGCGAGAAGCCGUUGUGCUCCAGCGGAGCAACUUUGGGUAUCAUCGCAGGUCCGUGGCUGAGUAACUCCGCUCGUUGCGCAUCAGGUUGGUGAGUGACAAAUUUUUUACAAUAAGGUAACGAAUCUGUGAACUUUAUGUAUUUUUAUACAUUAUAAGAUAAAUGCGACUUUUCACAGAUUUGUUAUUCUAAAAUUCAAACUGAUCUGAAUAAUUAAUUCUGAGGCAUUAUUUAUUAAUUUAUUGUUUACUUACGGAAAAAUACAUACACAUAUAAAACCAAAUCUUUAAAAUAGACCUGCUUUAUCGAUUUUCAACUCUUAUAUUCAGAAUUAAAAUCUUGAAAAAAAUUAUAUAUACUCGUAUACAUACAUACAAUAAAAAAAUUA